AUACUUACCUGGCAAGGGAGAUACCAUGAUCACGAAGGUGGUUUUCCCAGGGCGAGGCUUCUCCAUUGCACUCCAGAUGUGCUGACCCCUGCGAUUUCCCCAAAUGUGGGAAACUCGACUGCGUAAUUUGUGGUAGUGGGGGACUGUGUUCACACUCUCCCCUG
rnacentral:snRNA from 1 species